UACGGAGGGUGCAAGCGUUAUCCGGAUUCACUGGGUUUAAAGGGUGCGUAGGCGGACAGGUAAGUCAGUGGUGAAAUCCCCGAGCUCAACUUGGGAACUGCCGUUGAUACUAUCUGUCCUGAAUACCGUGGAGGUGAGCGGAAUAUGUCAUGUAGCGGUGAAAUGCUUAGAUAUGACAUAGAACACCGAUUGCGAAGGCAGCUCACUACGCGGUCAUUGACGCUGAGGCACGAAAGCGUGGGGAGCAAACAGG
rnacentral:rRNA from 1 species